rnacentral:rRNA from 1 species
UACAGAGGGCUCAAGCGUUGUUCGGAUUUAUUGGGCGUAAAGGGUGCGCAGGCGGUGUGGUAAGUUUGGUGUGAAAUCCUGGGGCUCAACCCCAGAAUUGCACUGAAUACUGCCAUGCUAGAGGACUGGAGAGGAGAUUGGAAUUCACGGUGUAGCAGUGAAAUGCGUAGAUAUCGUGAGGAAGACCAGUGGCGAAGGCGAAUCUCUGGACAGUUCCUGACGCUCAUGCACGAAGGCCAGGGGAGCAAACGGG